GCAUCAUGAUUUACAUUUGAGUGAGUGGCGAACUGGUGAGUAACACGUGGGAAACCUGCCCAGAAGCGGGGGAUAACACCUGGAAACAGAUGCUAAUACCGCAUAACAACUUGGACCGCAUGGUCCGAGCUUGAAAGAUGGCUUCGGCUAUCACUUUUGGAUGGUCCCGCGGCGUAUUAGCUAGAUGGUGGGGUAACGGCUCACCAUGGCAAUGAUACGUAGCCGACCUGAGAGGGUAAUCGGCCACAUUGGGACUGAGACACGGCCCAAACUCCUACGGGAGGCAGCAGUAGGGAAUCUUCCACAAUGGACGAAAGUCUGAUGGAGCAACGCCGCGUGAGUGAAGAAGGGUUUCGGCUCGUAAAACUCUGUUGUUAAAGAAGAACAUAUCUGAGAGUAACUGUUCAGGUAUUGACGGUAUUUAACCAGAAAGCCACGGCUAACUACGUGCCAGCAGCCGCGGUAAUACGUAGGUGGCAAGCGUUGUCCGGAUUUAUUGGGCGUAAAGCGAGCGCAGGCGGUUUUUUAAGUCUGAUGUGAAAGCCUUCGGCUCAACCGAAGAAGUGCAUCGGAAACUGGGAAACUUGAGUGCAGAAGAGGACAGUGGAACUCCAUGUGUAGCGGUGAAAUGCGUAGAUAUAUGGAAGAACACCAGUGGCGAAGGCGGCUGUCUGGUCUGUAACUGACGCUGAGGCUCGAAAGUAUGGGUAGCAAACAGGAUUAGAUACCCUGGUAGUCCAUACCGUAAACGAUGAAUGCUAAGUGUUGGAGGGUUUCCGCCCUUCAGUGCUGCAGCUAACGCAUUAAGCAUUCCGCCUGGGGAGUACGGCCGCAAGGCUGAAACUCAAAGGAAUUGACGGGGGCCCGCACAAGCGGUGGAGCAUGUGGUUUAAUUCGAAGCUACGCGAAGAACCUUACCAGGUCUUGACAUACUAUGCAAAUCUAAGAGAUUAGACGUUCCCUUCGGGGACAUGGAUACAGGUGGUGCAUGGUUGUCGUCAGCUCGUGUCGUGAGAUGUUGGGUUAAGUCCCGCAACGAGCGCAACCCUUAUUAUCAGUUGCCAGCAUUAAGUUGGGCACUCUGGUGAGACUGCCGGUGACAAACCGGAGGAAGGUGGGGAUGACGUCAAAUCAUCAUGCCCCUUAUGACCUGGGCUACACACGUGCUACAAUGGAUGGUACAACGAGUUGCGAACUCGCGAGAGUAAGCUAAUCUCUUAAAGCCAUUCUCAGUUCGGAUUGUAGGCUGCAACUCGCCUACAUGAAGUCGGAAUCGCUAGUAAUCGCGGAUCAGCAUGCCGCGGUGAAUACGUUCCCGGGCCUUGUACACACCGCCCGUCACACCAUGAGAGUUUGUAACACCCAAAGUCGGUG
rnacentral:rRNA from 1 species